GAUGAACGCUGGCGGCGUGCCUAAUACAUGCAAGUCGAGCGAACAGACGAGGAGCUUGCUCCUCUGACGUUAGCGGCGGACGGGUGAGUAACACGUGGAUAACCUACCUAUAAGACUGGGAUAACUUCGGGAAACCGGAGCUAAUACCGGAUAAUAUAUUGAACCGCAUGGUUGAAUAGUGAAAGACGGUUUUGCUGUCACUUAUAGAUGGAUCCGCGCCGCAUUAGCUAGUUGGUAAGGUAACGGCUUACCAAGGCAACGAUGCGUAGCCGACCUGAGAGGGUGAUCGGCCACACUGGAACUGAGACACGGUCCAGACUCCUACGGGAGGCAGCAGUAGGGAAUCUUCCGCAAUGGGCGAAAGCUUGACGGAGCAACGCCGCGUGAGUGAUGAAGGUCUUCGGAUCGUAAAACUCUGUUAUUAGGGAAGAACAAAUGUGUAAGUAACUAUGCACGUCUUGACGGUACCUAAUCAGAAAGCCACGGCUAACUACGUG
rnacentral:rRNA from 1 species